rnacentral:rRNA from 1 species
GUACACACCGCCCGUCGCUAGUACCGAUUGAAUGGCUUAGYGAGGCCUCAGGAUCUGCUUAGAGAAGGGGGCAACUCCAUCUCAGAGCGGAGAAUUUGGACAAACUUGGUCAUUUAGAGGAACUAAAAGUCGUAACAAGGUUUCCGUAGGUGAACCUGCAGAAGGAUCA